UACAGAGGGUGGCAAGCGUUGUUCGGAAUUAUUGGGCGUAAAGCGCGUGUAGGCGGCUUUGCAAGUCGGGUGUGAAAGCCCUCAGCUCAACUGAGGAAGUGCGCCCGAAACUGCAGAGCUUGAGUGCCGGAGAGGGUGGCGGAAUUCCCCAAGUAGAGGUGAAAUUCGUAGAUAUGGGGAGGAACACCGGUGGCGAAGGCGGCCACCUGGACGGUAAGCUGACGCUGGAGACGCGAAAGCGUGGGGAGCAAACAGG
rnacentral:rRNA from 1 species